UAAACCUAAACGCACGCACACCACACACAAAUCACACUCACAUAGUCACAGUAGAACAGAUUCACAAGUUGUAAUAGUUGAACAGAUUCACAACAUGUGAUUCAUUGAAGAAAUCACAAACACAGAACACACAAACAAAAGUACAAAACUCACAAGACACACACACACACAGAGCAGUGCCGCGAUCUACCGACUCCCAACGGCCACUGCCAACGGAGGCCACACACGCUCCACCUCCAGUGCUGCGAUCUAUUCCUGUCUCUCCGAACUUCGACCAGUCCCCGACGCUGCGCGUCCAGCCGUCUGCGAUCUGCCGUUGCACGUCCGCCCAUCUGCUGCCGCCAACUGCCACCGAUCUGCUGCUGAAAACCCGUCCGUGAUCUGCUGCUCCAAGGCCAAGCCUCCAACCCGAGUACCCGACCCAAGUUUUUGCCCUUUGUGACUUUUGAUUUUGAAGCUUUCAUUUC
rnacentral:lncRNA from 1 species